rnacentral:misc_RNA from 1 species
GAUGAAGAACGCAGCGAAAUGCGAUAAGUAAUGUGAAUUGCAGAAUUCAGUGAAUCAUCGAAUCUUUGAACGCACCUUGCGCUCCUUGGUAUUCCGAGGAGCAUGCCUGUUUGAGUGUCAUUAAAUUCUCAACCUUUCCAGCUUUUGCGAGUUUGGAUUGGCUUGGAUGUGGAGGUUUGCAGGCUUCUCAGAAGUCAGCUCCUCUUAAAUGCAUUAGCGGAACCUUUGUGGACCAGCUUUGGUGUGAUAAUUAUCUAUGCCAUGGUUGUGAAGCAGUUUUUAUAUGGGGUUCAGCUUCUAACAGUCCAUUGACUUGGACAAUUUCUGACAUUUUGACCUCAAAUCAGGUAGGACUACCCGCUGAACUUAAGCAUAUCAAUAAGCGGAGGA